GCGGCCGUGGUCUAAAGCGCCUUUUCGUGCGGGAAGCGGUAUGACUCCAGCCUUCCAAGCUGGUAGCCCGGGUUCGACUCCCGGCGGCCGCA
rnacentral:tRNA from 1 species